rnacentral:sRNA from 1 species
CACACACACACACACACAACCUUAGAAAACAUCUAAGAUUGUAAAGUAAAGAUGAGAUCAUAAAAUGGGAGAGCCAGAAACUGAAGUCAAGACCACUUAUUUUACUGAUUUUUAUUUUUUGAGAUAGGUUCUGCCUAUAAUAAAGAGGUUCGUUUUGAACUCCUAGGCUCAAGUGACCCUCUUCUCUCAGAUUCUCAAGUGUUGAGACUAUAGGUAUUAUGUAACUUUACUGGGCUUAGCUUAGUUAAAAAAAGAAUGUUAAAAAAAACUCUGUCCAAGCAAAAUAAAAUAUAUUUUCAGGUUAUACUGGUCCUGUGGUUCACCAGUUUUGACCUCUGUGCUAGUUGAGAGGAAGCAGCAUGUUAUAAUAACCUGAACAGAAGGUCCAUAAUUCCUGUGUUACCAUCUAAGUUUAACUAUUUACCAGCUCUAUAAUCUCAGAUAAACUAUGUAAUCAGUCCAUUUCUUUCAACUGGGCAUAAGAAAUCCAAAGUUUCCUAGCAGCUUUCAGCAUGGCAUGACUAAGAACCCAUGGAAAGCUAAUUAUGUGCAUGGUGAUUGAUUUUUUUCUGUAUGGGGUUUGGUGGGAUGUGAGACAAGGUUUUAUGUAGCCCAGCCUGGCUUCAAACGUUCUAUGUAGCUGAGACUGGCCUUGAACUCCUGAUCGUAUUGACUCUACUCCACAAGUACUCGGACAAAUGUGUAUCACCACACCUGAUACUUUGUCUUACCUCAGUUUGUUGACUCGGUUUACAUAUCUGGAUAGUGGGGAUAAUAAUGGUACCUACAUUAUAGAGCUCUGAGGAUUAAAUGAGGUGAUAUAUAGACUGUUAAUAUAACUGCAGUAGUGAGAACACUUUUUUUUGACACAACGUAAGCACUAUAUAAGAAUUACCUAUCAUCAUUACUGAUUUUUAACCUGACUUCUUGUUGAGCUCAUGUUUGACAGUCCUAAAUGACUUUGAAGGUAGCUUGCUAGUGUUUACAAUGUGGCACUGUUCCUGGGAGCAAUGUACACACCAUCACAAUGGAGCUGAACUUUUGAUCCCUUAGUUAAUCAUUUAAAAAAAGACAGAGUGGUAAGGUCUGAGAGCAGGAGAACUUCCCAGUCAAGGGAAUGCACCUUAAAAGCAGACACAGAUGAAGAAAAGAAAAACAGCCUAAAUGUCUAUCCAUGAAGGCAACAAACAAUGCUUAUUGCUAAAAGCCUUUUCUGUAUUUUCCAUAACAUACUUAAGAAGGCCAGAAAAAAAGGCCAAACUUUGAUCUAUAGAGUUGACUAGAAGGAAUUCUUAUAUUGGAAAAACACAGUUACUUUACUUGACCUAAAUUUGUGUAGGGGUAAAGUAUAGUUUUUUUUUCAAAAAUGUAAGAGAAAGGGUUUAUAAGUGUAGUUGGGUCCUGGGGCUGAAAAGUAGCACUCUAGCAGUAAUUUUGAAGUGAGACGUUGUGAUAUGAGGAAACAAAUGAAGCAUAGGAAGGCAGCUUUGAGGAGAUGUUUGAUGAAAUGGUAUGAACUCUAGUGGGGUAGCAAUGAAUACUCUGCAUUGAAUGGACAGGGGAGACUGCAGGUCACAAGUAUAAGGGUUACUGAUGGCACUUCAGCACUGAAGUGAUAAAGGCAUUCAUGGGAUCUCAUGUGAAAAGAUAUGGGGAUUCUUCAAUAGACCAUGAGAAAUUUCUGUUGAGAGGAGACAGCAUAUGUUAUGAAAACUAAUUUGAGUUUAUGAGAAUGGUAGAAGGUCAUAUGUAAUAGACAGGGGACUGGAAGUGUAUGAAAAUCUGUGUGUGGGGGUAAACAGAAGAAAAAGUUGGGCUUUGUGUUGUGAAAUACUGUAGAAUUCUGAGGUUGAAAGCACAGAGCAUAUGAUAGGAACCAGAUUAUAAAUAAGGAGAGAGUAAGUGAUCCCUGGUGUUAUAGGACAGGGCAUAAGGAAAGUUCAGCAUCAUUAAAGGGGUGAUCUAAGAAAAAACAACAAAAAAGUAUAUCUCCAUAGGAAAGGGCAAAAAACUACACACUUCAGCCAGAAAGAACUGGAUUUUCCAGGCUUAAGAAGGCAGGGGACAAGUGCAACCCUAAAGGAAACAAUGAGAAGCACCAGACUGAUAGUGACAGGAUGUGGUGUGGACAGUGGGAAACACUGGAGGGGGUGGAGACUGCUUCUCAGUAAAGAUAGGUAAAGAUUAGACAAGUAGUGGCUCUUCAGUGGAAUAUGGUAAGGAUUGCGGGGACUCUGAAGUGUAAAGAAAACAUUCUAGUAGGAGAUUAUAGUGGAUGGGACAUGAUCAUACUAUGACAAAGUGGGGUCACUAGUGAGAUGGGUAAGAAAAUAAUGUGGGCCUUCUAAUGAGAAGUUGAAUGCUUUACAAAAAGGAAAGGGAAGGGGCUGGACCCCAGUGUGGUACAAUUUGGAGCUCUAAUAUGAGAAGAAAGUGUUGUAUAGAACCCCCGCACCACAAAAAGAGCUCUGAAAAUGAGGAAAGACUACAGGUAAGGAAAGGGGAAAACUUAUUGUGUGAAAUGUGAGAUAGAACAGAACAGAGUGUGGAGUCAUAAGAAGACAAACAUGGAGCACUCUCUCUCUCUCUCUCUCUCUCACUGUGUGUGUGUGUGUGUGUGUGUGUGUGUGUGUGUGUGUACUGCAUGUCUGCAUGUGCGCACACACAUGCUAGCACUCUUGGAUCUCAGGGAAAGGGUGAAGGGCUUAGUUAGCCCUGUGUAAAAAGUGAGAACAGAAUGUUCUGAUGUGAGAGGCUCAUAAGUGGGUGGAGAUGUGAAACCUCUCAGCUUGUGUUUGAGGGUUGCAGAGACAAAGUAUGGAUCUCAAUGUGGAGAAGAGGUGAGAUAAUAGGAGAGUACAGGAAUUAUUUUUGGAUUCCUAUUAGGGAAUCCCUAGUAUGAAAGAAACCAGAGUAGGAGGGGAAAAUGGUGGGGCCCUUAGUUGGAUACUUUGGUGGAGCGGGCACUUUAAGGGUAUGGUGCUUCCUCAAUUGGUUGGGUGGGUUCAGAAGGUGGUUUUCCAGGCAGUACAGCUUAAGUGGUUAUCCUGUACGUGUGGGGGAGGGAGGUUCCUAGUAGGAAGAACCAAGGAAUUAUUGAGGGUAGGGCAAAGAAAUAGGAAAACCCAGAGGAGAGGAGAUGGCGACGUGGUGGGACCCUCGUGGGACGGCGCAUGAAAGAUAUUGUGAGAAGCCCAAGCCAUGAACUCAUGUUGUUCCAGCGGUGCUUCCUUUCAAGGUGCAAUGUGAACAGCCACCUCAAGCUCUGUCACCAUGUCUACCCCACCGUAAUGGACUGUACCCUUAAAUGGUAAGCCAAAAUAAAAUAUCCAUUAAGUUGCUUUUGUAAGGGCAUUUCAUCAAGCAAAAGGAAAAGUAACUAGGACAUAACCCAUACUGUCUAUGUUCUCAAGUAUGUGACUCUUUAAUGUCUAUUAGGUCCAUAGUGGUACUCUUCUCAUAAAAAAUGGCUUAUGGUUUUGUUACAUUUUCUAUUCAGUUCUUGAUUUCAUUUUCACUUAGUUCUGUGCUAAUAUUUAUUAGCUCCUUUUCCCACUUAGUCUGGGUUUAGUUUGCCUUACCUUUUGUAGGCUUUAAAUGUUAAUUUUAGACUUGUUUCAUUUUCUAUUGUAUGGAUUCAGUGGUAUGGAUUUUCAUUUAAGUGUUAGUUUUCUAAAUCUCAUAGAUUUUGAUGAUAUAUGCUUCCAUUUCCAUUUAAUUCAAGAAAUGUUUAUUACUUUGUCACUUCUUUGAUAUGGGUAUUAUUCUCAACAUACUUGGGGUUUUUUAUAAUCCACUGUACCUUAAUGACUUGUUACUUAAGAGAAAGAGUGAUGCUAUAUUUCACAGACUGGGACCAAGCACUUGGGCUUACAUGAUCCUCUUGCCUAAGCCUCCUGAAUAGCUAAGAUUCUGGACAUAUAGCACAAAUCCUAUCCUGUGUUAUUGCUACUUAGUUCUGCCACAAUCUAAGACCGUGUGUUAUGUGAUGUCUAGUUUUAUUUUAAGGCCUGUUUUAUAAUCCAGAGUGUUUUUUCCUGUGAGUGUUCUAUACAAGCUAGAAAUAAACGAAAUUGUCUAUUGUCCAUUAUACCCAGCUUUGUCAGAUUUGGAAUAUUUAACUAAUGGUGGAAUGUCACUAUUUGGAACGUGUCAGAGUUUGGAUUUUGGAAUAAUGAUAUUCAUCCUGAAAAUGACAUUGUGAAAUUGCCACCACAAUCAAACUGCAUAACAAAUCUAUCUUCUCAAGUAUUACCCAUUUCUUUGUGAUAGGGGUACUGAGAUUUAUUUUCUUAGCAAGUUUCAAAUGUACAGUAGAAUAUUACUUAAAAUAACUAUUUGAUUUUCAGAAGUUAUUCAUUUUGGGUAAGUAAAAAUUUUAUGCACUUUGAUGAAGAAGUACUCCCCACUUGUCAUUUCUUCCUGAGGCAAAACCUAUUGUGCUUUGUUUUUGAAAAAGUGGGAGAUCCAGCCUGCGUAUAACACAGAUGGAUCUGGAAGAUAUUAUCUUAAAUGAUUCUGCCAGAUGCAGAAGGAAAAUGUUUCUCGCUUGCUUUUGUCUGGAAUGUUGAAUGGUUAGAAUGUAUAUACUUCGUUUUUUUAAUUCACCUACCAUAGACUCUUGCAUUAUUUCUCUAUCUUGGCUAUUAACAAUUAUGAAUGCUAGAAAGAAUUAAGAUGUCUCUAUGAUGUGCUGAUUUCAUUGUUUUUGGGUAUGUUUCUAGAAAAGGGAUUUCUGAGUCAUCUAAUAGUUCAGUUUCAAAGUAUUUUUGAUGAACUUCCAUAUUGUUUUCCUUUAAAGUGUCCUCUUUUUCUACAUCCUUGCUACUUUAAGUGAUCUGCUGAUUUUUUUUAUACUAGCCAUCCUAAAAAGUAUGAGAUGAUAUCUCAUUAUGGUUUGGAUUUGCAUUUUCAUCCUUAUUAGUGAUACAGAGAACUUUUUUUGUGUUUCCAUUGUUUAUUUGUAUUUCAUUUGAAAGAGGAUUAGUUUUAUUUUUAAUUAGGUGUAUGUGUUUGGGGGUAGGAUGGUGUUCAUGACUGCAGCUAUGGGCAGAGGUUAGACGAGGGUAUUGAAUCCUCUGGAUUUAGAGUUAAAGGUAUUUGUAUGCUGCCUAACAUGUGGGCGAUGGGAACUGAACUCAGAUCCUCUCCAAAAGCAGUAUGCAUGCCUAAUCACUGAUCCAUCUCUCCAGCCUCUAUUUCUAUGUUUUCUUUGGGAUUAAAAAUAUUCU